AUUGAACGCUGGCGGCAGGCCUAACACAUGCAAGUCGAGCGGCAGCGGGACCUUCGGGUUGCCGGCGAGCGGCGGACGGGUGAGUAAUGCCUAGGAAUCUGCCUGUUAGUGGGGGAUAACGCGGGGAAACUCGCGCUAAUACCGCAUACGUCCUACGGGAGAAAGCGGGGGCUCUUCGGACCUCGCGCUAACAGAUGAGCCUAGGUCGGAUUAGCUAGUUGGUGGGGUAAUGGCUCACCAAGGCGACGAUCCGUAACUGGUCUGAGAGGAUGAUCAGUCACACUGGAACUGAGACACGGUCCAGACUCGUACGGGAGGCAGCAGUGGGGAAUAUUGGACAAUGGGCGAAAGCCUGAUCCAGCCAUGCCGCGUGUGUGAAGAAGGUCUUCGGAUUGUAAAGCACUUUAAGUCGGGAGGAAGGGCUGUAGGUUAAUACCCUGCGGUUUUGACGUUACCGACAGAAUAAGCACCGGCUAACUUCGUGCCAGCCGCCGCAGUAA
rnacentral:rRNA from 1 species